CCCUUAGACGUUCUGGGCCGCACGCGCGCUACACUGAUGCAUUCAACGAGUCCAACCUUGACCGAGAGGUCCGGGUAAUCUUUGAAACUGCAUCGUGAUGGGGCUAGAUUAUUGCAAUUAUUAAUCUUCAACGAGGAAUGCCUAGUAAGCGUGAUUCAUCAAAUCGCGUUGAUUACGUCCCUGCCCUUUGUACACACCGCCCGUCGCUCCUACCGAUUGAGUGUGUUGGUGAGGAGUUUGGAUUGGCCUCGGAAGGUGGUUCGCCACCGUCCGUAGCUGAGAAGUUCUCCAAACCGCCCCACUUAGAGGAAGGAGAAGUCGUAACA
rnacentral:rRNA from 1 species